CCUUAUCCUUUGUUGCCAGCGGUUAGGCCGGGAACUCAAAGGAGACUGCCAGUGAUAAACUGGAGGAAGGUGGGGAUGACGUCAAGUCAUCAUGGCCCUUACGACCAGGGCUACACACGUGCUACAAUGGCGCAUACAAAGAGAAGCGACCUCGCGAGAGCAAGCGGACCUCAUAAAGUGCGUCGUAGUCCGGAUUGGAGUCUGCAACUCGACUCCAUGAAGUCGGAAUCGCUAGUAAUCGUGGAUCAGAAUGCCACGGUGAAUACGUUCCCGGGCCUUGUACACACCGCCCGUCACACCAUGGGAGUGGGUUGCAAAAGAAGUAGGUAGCUUAACCUUCGGGAGGGCGCUUACCACUUUGUGAUUCAUGACUGGGGUGAAGUCGUAACAAGGUAACCGUAGGGGAACCUGC
rnacentral:rRNA from 1 species